AGGGACAGUCUGCACGUUAUACAAAGCGUGAUACAGCAUAAACUUGCUUCAUAGUGAAACAGGGAUGGUGGAUCAAGAAAGCUUGAUUUUGGGUUGUGUUUGUUAUAUAAAGAAUUUAAAAAUAGGGUAUCUUGUUUAUUUCACCAAAGGCUUAUCAAUUAUAAAACCCCAUUUUAGUAUUGCAAUUUCAAUUCUGUGAGCUAAUUGUUUCUGAUGAAUUGUGAACAUGUUGUACUUAGCUCUGUUUACGAUUAUGGUUACCCUAAUUUAUGUCUAUGCUUCCAGUAAUGUUUGAAACCUGCUAUUUUGGUGCAAUUGUUCUGAUCAUAUGAACCUUUGUAGGUUCUGACAACAAUGCUGAUGGCUUGAGGUUUGUUAAAGUAAGGGUG
rnacentral:misc_RNA from 1 species